rnacentral:rRNA from 1 species
GAUGAACGCUGGCGGCGUGCCUAAUACAUGCAAGUCGAGCGAACAGACGAGGAGCUUGCUCCUCUGACGUUAGCGGCGGACGGGUGAGUAACACGUGGAUAACCUACCUAUAAGACUGGGAUAACUUCGGGAAACCGGAGCUAAUACCGGAUAAUAUAUUGAACCGCAUGGUUCAAUAAUGAAAGACGGUUUUGCUGUCACUUAUAGAUGGAUCCGCGCCGCAUUAGCUAGUUGGUAAGGUAACGGCUUACCAAGGCAACGAUGCGUAGCCGACCUGAGAGGGUGAUAGGCGACACUGGAACUGAGACGCGGUCCAGGCGCCUACGGGAGGGAGCAGUAGGGAAUGGGACGCAAUGGGCGAAAGCAUGACGGAGCAACGCCGCGUGAGUGAUGAAGGUCUUCGGAUCGUAAAAAUCUGUUAUUAGGGAAGAACAAAUGUGUAAGUAAAUAUGCACGUCUUGACGGUACCUAAUCAGAAAGCCACGGCUAACUACGUG